rnacentral:rRNA from 1 species
UGGGGAAUAUUGCACAAUGGGCGAAAGCCUGAUGCAGCGACGCCGCGUGAGGGAUGACGGCCUUCGGGUUGUAAACCUCUUUCAGCAGGGAAGAAGCGAAAGUGACGGUACCUGCAGAAGAAGCGCCGGCUAACUACGUGCCAGCAGCCGCGGUAAUACGUAGGGCGCAAGCGUUGUCCGGAAUUAUUGGGCGUAAAGAGCUCGUAGGCGGUUAGUCGCGUCUGCUGCGAAAACUCGAGGCUCAACCUCGGGCUUGCAGUGGGUACGGGCUGACUAGAGUGCGGUAGGGGUGACUGGAAUUCCUGGUGUAGCGGUGGAAUGCGCAGAUAUCAGGAGGAACACCGAUGGCGAAGGCAGGUCACUGGGCCGCAACUGACGCUGAGGAGCGAAAGCAUGGGGAGCGAACAGGAUUAGAUACCCUGGUAGUCCAUGCCGUAAACGUUGGGCACUAGGUGUGGGGUCCAUUUCCACGGAUUCCGUGCCGCAGCAAACGCAUUAAGUGCCCCGCCUGGGGAGUACGGCCGCAAGGCUAAAACUUAAAUGAAUUGACGGGGUCAUAGCUGUUUCCU